GUUAUAGGGACAAGUGAAUAAGUGCACAUGGUGGAUGCCUUGGCGAUUACAGGCGAUGAAGGACGUAGUAGCUUGCGAUAAGCUGCGGGGAGCUAGCAAACAAGCUUUGAUCCGCAGAUUUCCGAAUGGGGAAACCCGGCCUUUUAGGUCAUCACUCACUGAAUACAUAGGUGUGUGAAGCGAACGCGGCGAACUGAAACAUCUAAGUAGCUGCAGGAAAAGAAAUCAACCGAGAUUCCCAAAGUAGUGGCGAGCGAAAUGGGAAGAGCCUGCACGUGAUAGUCGGACUGAUAAUGGAAUGCUCUGGAAAUGGCAGCCACAGCGGGUGAUAGCCCCGUACAUGAAAUCAGACCGGUGGUACUAAGCGUGCGACAAGUAGGGCGGGACACGAGAAAUCCUGUCUGAAUAUGGGGGGACCAUCCUCCAAGGCUAAAUACUCGUAAUCGACCGAUAGUGAACCAGUACCGUGAGGGAAAGGCGAAAAGAACCCCGGGAGGGGAGUGAAAUAGAUCCUGAAACCGUGUGCAUACAAACAGUAGGAGCGGACUUGUUCCGUGACUGCGUACCUUUUGUAUAAUGGGUCAGCGACUUACAUUCAGUGGCAAGGUUAACCGCAUAGGGAAGCCGUAGAGAAAUCGAGUCCGAACAGGGCGCUAGUCGCUGGGUGUAGACCCGAAACCAAGUGAUCUACUCAUGGCCAGGAUGAAGGUGCGGUAACACGCACUGGAGGUCCGAACCCACUAAUGUUGAAAAAUUAGGGGAUGAGCUGUGGGUAGGGGUGAAAGGCUAAACAAACUUGGAAAUAGCUGGUUCUCUCCGAAAACUAUUUAGGUAGUGCCUCAAGUAUCACCAUCGGGGGUAGAGCACUGUUAUGGCUAGGGGGUCAUCGCGACUUACCAAACCAUUGCAAACUCCGAAUACCGAUGAGUGCGAGCUUGGGAGACAGACGUCGGGUGCUAACGUCCGGCGUCAAGAGGGAAACAACCCAGACCGCCAGCUAAGGUCCCAAAGAUUGGCUAAGUGGAAAACGAAGUGGGAAGGCUAAAACAGUCAGGAUGUUGGCUUAGAAGCAGCCAUCAUUUAAAGAAAGCGUAAUAGCUCACUGAUCGAGUCGUCCUGCGCGGAAGAUGUAACGGGGCUAAGCCAGUCACCGAAGCUGCGGAUAUGCGUAAGCAUAUGGUAGGAGAGCGUUCUGUAAGCCUGCGAAGGUGUCUUGUAAAGGAUGCUGGAGGUAUCAGAAGUGCGAAUGCUGACAUGAGUAGCGAUAAUGGGGGUGAAAAGCCCCCACGCCGUAAGCCCAAGGUUUCCUGUUCAACGUUCAUCGGAGCAGGGUGAGUCGGCCCCUAAGGCGAGGCAGAGAUGCGUAGCUGAUGGGAAGCAGGUUAAUAUUCCUGCACCGUCGUAUGAUGCGAUGGGGGGACGGAUCGCGGAAGGUUGUCUGCCUGUUGGAAUAGGCAGUUUCUGCUUCAUAGAAGGCGCUUAGGCAAAUCCGGGCGCGUAAUUCAAGGGAGUGGGACGAGUGCACUUGUGCACGUAGCAAUCGGAAGUGGUUCCAAGAAAAGCCUCUAAGCUUCAGUCAUACGAGACCGUACCGCAAACCGACACAGGUGGGCGAGAUGAGUAUUCUAAGGCGCUUGAGAGAACUCGGGAGAAGGAACUCGGCAAAUUGGUACCGUAACUUCGGGAAAAGGUACGCCCUUGUAGCUUGGCUGAUUUACUUCAGUAGGGCGAACGGGUUGCAAUAAACUGGUGGCUGCGACUGUUUAAUAAAAACACAGCACUCUGCAAACACGAAAGUGGACGUAUAGGGUGUGACGCCUGCCCGGUGCUGGAAGAUUAAAUGAUGGGGUGCAAGCUCUUGAUUGAAGUCCCAGUAAACGGCGGCCGUAACUAUAACGGUCCUAAGGUAGCGAAAUUCCUUGUCGGGUAAGUUCCGACCUGCACGAAUGGCGUAACGAUGGCCACACUGUCUCCUCCCGAGACUCAGCGAAGUUGAAAUGUUUGUGAUGAUGCAAUCUACCCGCGGCUAGACGGAAAGACCCCAUGAACCUUUACUGUAGCUUUGCAUUGGACUUUGAACCAAUCUGUGUAGGAUAGGUGGGAGGCUUUGAAGCGGGAACGCCAGUU
rnacentral:rRNA from 1 species